CUCAUCAGAGACACACGGGAGGUGAGAUGUCCCAAUGUGGGUACUCUGCCCAUAGUGUCAGUAAAUGCUAUAUAUUAUUAUAUAUUUUUUUAAAUACAGUGAAGGACUUUAGAGAGAGAGGUCCUCUUAAGCUAAACAUCUCCUUAGGUCAGCUGAGAUGUAAAGCACAGUCCUUGUACCCUCCUGUCGUCAAGAUGGCUCAAAAUUCAUGUGAGGAAGUUGGGUCUGCUGUCCUUAAGAGCUCCAAGCAAAGCCACUUGGUAACAAGAAUAAAGGCAACUACAAGGCUGAACAGUUUGAAUGUCCAUGGCAGAAGAGAUGCAGUCCACAAUUUGGGUGCACACCUGUGUGUGGACAGUGAUAACAAAGCUCCUGCUGAUUUACUGUGUUCCCUCAAAAGAAGAUUGAAGCACACAAACACAUUUUAUGUGUUCAACAGCACCAACAUAGUGCAGAGAAUUUGGUCUAUGUCUUCAGCGAUGCCUCUAGAAAUUUUCUUCUGCCAAUUAAGUCCACACAUAAUUCCACUUAAAUGCUGCUGUAAUUGGCUUAGUAGAAGUGCUGAGACAGGUGGAGAUGGGCUCUGUGCAGUGAGAGCUCUGUCUUUUCAGUGACUGCAUUCGAGGAUGGCAAGAGACCACGUACCAUUACGUAACUGUUUGAGUGAAAAGAAUUUUCCUCAAAAGUACUUGGGACACUAAGCAGAUGGCAGCAACUUAAUCCAGUCCAAAGAAGGAGUAAGUGAAAUCACUCAGUCAGUUACAUUCAUUGGGAAAACUCUCUGAUUCUCUCAUAUCUAAUGGAAAAAGAAAAUAAAACAUUACUGAAACUGCCA
rnacentral:lncRNA from 1 species